AUACGUAGGGGGCGAGCGUUGUCCGGAAUGAUUGGGCGUAAAGGGCGCGUAGGCGGCGCGGUAAGUCUGGAGUGAAAGUCCUGCUUUCAAGGUGGGAAUUGCUUUGGAUACUGCCGCGCUUGAGUGCAGGAGAGGUUAUCGGAAUUCCCGGUGUAGCGGUGAAAUGCGUAGAGACCGGGAGGAACACCAGUGGCGAAGGCGGGUAACUGGACUGCAACUGACGCUGAGGCGCGAAAGUGUGGGGAGCAAACAGGAUUAGAUACCCUGGUAGUCCACACUGUAAACGAUGAAUGCUAGGUGUAAGAGGUAUCGACCCCUUUUGUGCCGGAGUCAACACAAUAAGCAUUCCGCCUGGGGAGUACGGCCGCAAGGUUGAAACUCAAAUGAAUUGACGGGG
rnacentral:rRNA from 1 species